AAUAGUUUAAUGUCAUAUCAAUAUUUCCAUCUUGAAUAUUAGCAUUUUCAUCCUAAAAAAAAUCAAAUCCAAAUAAAAGUCUUGAAAUUCAAGAUGAAAUUGCUGAUAUGGCAUUAAACUAUU
rfam:Gossypium raimondii Chr05_contig_240, whole genome shotgun sequence.